CUGUGCCUUCUGUGCCACAAUGCUGCUGUGCCAGCUGCUGCUUCUGGGAGAAAACCUAGUUCCUAGUUCUCUCCAGUGUGAGCUGGUUUGGCUAUUUGAAAGCUACUCUUUUCAACUAACCCUUCUUUGUCAGUUCAGAAACCAGUCCUGCUUUCCAGCAGCUGGGCUGGGCAGGGUUUUUCCAGGCUUGCUGACUGCAGCAGCUGUUUCCUGCCCCCAGUAAGAGCCCGGGGGACACACUCACCCACUCAGAGCCACCCUUGGCGGGAGACUUGGGGGACAACUCCCCGCAGGGCCGAGUUGAACAGCUCCAAUGAAAUAAUGCCAGAUGUGAAUGCUUUUUAAUCGAUGGGCUCUGAUCAUCACGAUACCAAAAUUCUGCACAUCUUUUGCAAAGCAAGGCUUGGCUCUCUGAAGCUUUCAUUUCUUCAUUUUCCCAAGAAAGAAUGUUAACCACUCCACUUCCUAGUUCCUCCACACCUGUCACUUGGGAACCAGACGAGAAGUUCUAAGAAGCCCUCAGAUCCUGCAGCCUGACUCUGGCUUGGAAAACCUCUGUCCAGAUCAGAGUGCCAAGGGGAGUGACCCAUCUUGGAUCCUGGACCUCAUCCACUUAGUUGGGAAAUCUUUCUGAUAAAUUCAGAGACCACACAAAGUCCUGAGGGCCUUCCUGUCGAUUUGAAUCCGCUCAAACUCCCAGGAGAUGAAAACAACUUCACUAGAUUGAGGGGACGUAGGAAUCACCUGGGGAUCUUGUUAAAAUGAGGAUUCUGAUUCAGAAGGUCUGGGGAGGGGCCUGAGAUUCUCCCAGGUGAGGCCAGUGCUGCUGGUCCAAGGACCACAUUUGCAGCAUCAAGGGGUUAUAGAACCACCUUCUGUCACUGCUCAUGGAUUUCCUACUCUGCUUUCUGGGGAUCUUGCCUGUUUUCACACCUUAUCCUUCUUUUCCUCUCUCCAUCCAUCCUUUUCUUGGCCAACUCAUUAUUCUGACCAGGCACCCCUACCAACUCCCAACCCUCCUCCAUUCAAGGAGAAAGAAACUCCUGCCCUUUUUUCCUCAGACUUUCAUCCCCUCCCCUCUUCCCUCAGCAGUGCCAGAAAAAUGAAAGUCAUCAUUUAUUGACAGUUGUGUGCCAAGCACUGUCCCAAAUGUGUUACCCAUAAUAUUUAAUUCUCGCAACAAUCCUACAAAGUAUAUAUUAUUAUUGUCAUUUUAGAAAUGAGAAAAUUGAAACUUAGGUAGUUAAAGAAACUCUGUCCUCAACUAGGGAGUAAUGAGUUGAGAUUAGAAUUUGAAUCUGUCUAACGUCAAAGUCUACAGGCUUUACACUACCUUAUGCUCAUGCAAGGUGAAAUAGUCUAGAAGUCAGCUGGUGGGAAUGCAUUGAGAAAAAAGGAUCACUCCAAGGAUCACUCCACUUAUUCAGCCUGUACAGUCCUCUGAACCCCUCUUAAGCAGAUAUUCUAUGGGACAGCCCGACAUAUGGAUAAUAAGAGCUAUUUUAGGAAUGCCCAGGUUAGCUGGAAUGGGACAGGAUUCCAAAUAGCAGAGUAGUAAUAUUAAAACCCAAACUUGCCAAUAUGCCCAAAUUUUCAAUGUAGCUCUUUAAUUAGACCCAUAACUGUACCAAUAGAGCCUAUUACCAAAAAAGAGAUUCCUAUGAUUAGCUAAUCACCCAACCACAUGGAGUCUAAAGGAUGGUGCCAAGUCUGCUAUCAGUCCGCAUAGGGUCCUCUUUGGAUGGGUAGCCAAUUCCCUUCUCUCUCUAGUCUCUCUUCCUUGACUCCACCUCUAACAUCCCCUUGGUCUCUGCCUGUUCUCAAGAUCUGACCUAAGUGUCCUGGCUUCCAACCUGGGAGCCUAUACCUGAUCUUAAAACCUUUGUGUCUUUCAGCUUCCUCAAACUACAGCAUCUACAAGACAAACGAAUCUUGCUUAUGUUGGCUAUCUCCCUCUCCUGACUUUUAUUGGGUGUACAAAAAAAAAAUCUCCCUUUAAUUCCUCCCAAAGAUCCUACAAGGUAUGAGGAGAGGAGAAAAGGCAAGGGGUAGGAAUGAGGAAAAUUCCAUCUUGAUGCAAAAAUUUAAAAGGUCUAUAUUCAUUCAAUGGAGAAGAGUCAGAAUUUUAAAAUAUAACAUAGACAAGGAAAUUAAGAGCAGUGUGCUGUGGGGAAAGGAGCCCUGGCCCAAGAGUCGUGAGAUUUGGGUUCUCAAUCCAUCUUUUCCACUAACUGGCUGUGCAACCUUGGAUAAACUGUAUCAUUUUUCUUGACAUCAGUUUCUCCAUCUUUAAAGUGAGAGGGUUGUAUUGAAUGAUUACUAAGAUUCCUUUGAUCUCUGCUUUUCAGCGUCUUCCCUAGCACCUAAAAUAAAAUGAACCUGGCAGUUUUUGUGAAAUAAUGUUGCAUCUAACCAGAAAUUUAGACACAAACUUGCUUGAGUCAAUGCAUGAAAACAAGAAGAUAAAGAAACAGUGAUUAAUAAUGAUAAAUGAAUAAUAAUGAUAAAAAUAAAAGACCAAAAACUUAAAAAAAGACA